rnacentral:rRNA from 1 species
CUUGAAUUCUGGUUGAUCCUGCCAGAGGCCACUGCUAUCGGGGUUCGAUUAAGCCAUGCGAGUCGAGAGGUGCAAGACCUCGGCGCACUGCUCAGUAACACGUGGACAACCUACCCUGAGGAGGGGGAUAACCCCGGAAAACUGGGGA